UUCUCCAACACCUUGUCUGUCUCUCUCUAGGACCUCUCUCUUGUAUGUUGGUGUCAAUCUUGCUUCACUAUUUGAAUGGGACAUGGCCAUUCCAUCCGUAUUGACAGUUCAUUGCUACUGGGUGUAAAAGAUAAAUCUUAUUCUAUCUGUUCUUAAUGAGUUUUAGAUAAUUUUAGUUGUAUUUCUUUGUAAUUUUGUGUUGUACAAAGAUUAAUUUAACAUUUUCUCUGGAAGUGUUAAUUUAGGAAGAUAAUAUGCUUCAUUGGUGUUGUGUUUUGAAGUGUGAAAUGCAAAGUAAUUGUGAUAAAGUCAAGAUAAAGUUCACUUUUAAACUGAACUAAAUAAGGUAUCUGAGAGACAACAAUGGUUAAAUGCAAUACAAUGUACAGGUUUUACUAGCGAAACGAAAAUUUUCCUGUCCUGUCUGCUGUAAUCAUUUUAUAUCUGGAAAACCAGCCGACUUAAUCGAUAAUAACAAUCUCCAGAUUGGGUUCCUUCAAUAAAUAUGGGCUAUAAACACAAUGAAAUAAGUUCCCCAAAAUCUAAAAUGGAGUGGUAUCAAAGGAGAAUUAAAGGAAAAAAUAUUCAUAUUGAAAUUAUUUAUAAGGCACUGGACUGUCUUAAAUUCUACAAUAAUACUAGAAUCAGCUGAGAGAAGUGGUCUACAAAAAACCAGGAAGGAAACGGAAUAUGUGGCUACGAAAGGCAAAAGAAAGGUUUACAAAGCAAAUGUGACACAUUUUUUUGAAAUAUUUAGGAAUAUCAGUAAAUUGCAUUAAAAGAAUGUAUGAAAAGAUUUUGUUCAAUAAAAAUGUUUAUAUUUA